UGCAGUCGAGCGAAUGGAUUAAGAGCUUGCUCUUAUGAAGUUAGCGGCGGACGGGUGAGUAACACGUGGGUAACCUGCCCAUAAGACUGGGAUAACUCCGGGAAACCGGGGCUAAUACCGGAUAACAUUUUGAACCGCAUGGUUCGAAAUUGAAAGGCGGCUUCGGCUGUCACUUAUGGAUGGACCCGCGUCGCAUUAGCUAGUUGGUGAGGUAACGGCUCACCAAGGCAACGAUGCGUAGCCGACCUGAGAGGGUGAUCGGCCACACUGGGACUGAGACACGGCCCAGACUCCUACGGGAGGCAGCAGUAGGGAAUCUUCCGCAAUGGACGAAAGUCUGACGGAGCAACGCCGCGUGAGUGAUGAAGGCUUUCGGGUCGUAAAACUCUGUUGUUAGGGAAGAACAAGUGCUAGUUGAAUAAGCUGGCACCUUGACGGUACCUAACCAGAAAGCCACGGCUAACUACGUGCCAGCAGCCGCGGUAAUACGUAGGUGGCAAGCGUUAUCCGGAAUUAUUGGGCGUAAAGCGCGCGCAGGUGGUUUCUUAAGUCUGAUGUGAAAGCCCACGGCUCAACCGUGGAGGGUCAUUGGAAACUGGGAGACUUGAGUGCAGAAGAGGAAAGUGGAAUUCCAUGUGUAGCGGUGAAAUGCGUAGAGAUAUGGAGGAACACCAGUGGCGAAGGCGACUUUCUGGUCUGUAACUGACACUGAGGCGCGAAAGCGUGGGGAGCAAACAGGAUUAGAUACCCUGGUAGUCCACGCCGUAACGAUGAGUGCUAAGUGUUAGAGGGUUUCCGCCCUUUAGUGCUGAAGUUAACGCAUUAAGCACUCCGCCUGGGGAGUACGGCCGCAAGGCUGAAMUCAAAGGAAAUUGACGGGGGCCCGCACAAGCGGUGAACCUUGUGGUUAAUUUGGAAGCAACGGAAGGACCUUUCCCAGGUCUGGCCUUCUUUUGACACCCCAAAAAUUAGGGUUUUUCUUUGGGAAGCGGAGGGCCGGUGGGGCCAGGUUGGUGUUCAGUUGGGUUCUGGGGAUGUGGGGUUAAUUCCGCCACGAAGCCCACCCCUUGUUUUUGGUGCCCUCCAUUAAGUGGGGCAUUUUAAGGGGACGCCGGGGGCCAACCGGGGGGAAGGGGGGGAGGAGUUCAAUUCUUCUUCCCCUUUUGGCCUUGGGUUCCCCCCUUGUUCCAAGGGCGGUUCCAAAGAGUGCCAGGCCCGGGAGGGGGAGUUAUUUUCUUAAACCCUUUUUCAUUUGGGAUGUUGGGUUCCAAUUGCCUUCCAGGAAGCGGGAUUCGUUGUUAUUCGGGGUUCACCAGGCCGCGGGGAUUACUUUCCCGGCCUUGGUCCCCCCCCCCCUCCCCCCCAGGGGAGUUGUUACCCCCGGAGUUCGGGGGGGUUAACCUUUGGAGCCAGCCGC
rnacentral:rRNA from 1 species